GGUUGUUGGUUGUUUGGCCUGAGGUGACCCAGCACUGGAUGCUACAAGGCUCUAUGGUUGGGCUGAUGGCAGACUCUGGGAGGGCUCACGCCAAGGAGCACUUCCCAGAACUUCUGCUGCCAGCGUCCUUGUCCCCAUGGUGAGCCACAGCUGCCCCCCACCUCUGCAGGAGACACUCCAACACUAGCAGGGUCCAGUUCCCACCCCAAACCACCAGUCCUUCCAGAAUACUGAGCUACAUGAGAACAGGAGCCACACCUGUCUGGCUGACUCUGCUACAUCCCACUGUCAGUGCCUCCCAGGUGUCAGGACAUAUUGAAUGAAUGAGUGAACAUAUGUGUGAGCAAACGAUCAGAGAUACUUUUUAUCAUGGUGCCGCAUCCAGAGGCCUCGCACCUGGCCCUUCAGACCGGAGUUCCUGGUGCAGCACGGCUGCGCCGUCCCCUCAACUCCAGGGCUCUGCGCAGAAACACUGCAACCAGCGCUCAGUUCAAGAUGGCGGCGAUGGCGGGCCGUGUGCAGAGCCGCUGCUCUCGGCGCUGCGAUCUGGAGGCGGAGCCGCAGCAGCUGCACCAGAUCCCACAAGAGCUCCGCCUCCUCCCCCGCUGCCGAGAUCCCUAGAAAGCAGCCCCACCCACAGUCUUUAUGGGAGAGCGUGUGCUCUGCGGCCGGAGCUCACACCUCUCUGUUCUUUGAUCAAAGAAUAAAACUCUUUUGCUUCCAAAUGGAAGAACUCAGUCUCGUUCUAUUGGUUUGAGCAACACUGGGCAGAAGGACCCUUCUUAGGGACCAACUCGGGAGGGUCAGUAACAUGUUCUUUCAUGGGUACUGCAAGAUAUAUCCUAACAAAUGAGACUGAUGAUGGAUGUACGGGUUGUACAGGCUAGUAAAAACUGUAAAUGUACAUAGAGCAGAGAAUUUAGACGCGGCCAUGGCACACAUUAUCACUGGUGAGAAUGGGAAGUACUCGUUUAAAUAAAAAUCUUUGUGCAACUUUGUACAGGGUGUUUUAAUGUGGUUCUCCCAUCUGUUAAACUCAAAUUCCACUGUACAGGACAGACAAGCCGUGUCCUUUCCAAUCCAGCACAGAAAGAAAAUGACAUUUACAUUUGAUUUCCUGUCUGGGGCAUAAGGUCGGCUCCAGAAAGCUGAGCAUUCAGCAGGUUCCAGAUGCGGGGCAAAUGCUGGAACCAUGACUGCUGUCAUCGUGGCCCCAGAGCAGGGGGAUGCCACAUUUGGAAUGAGGUAAUAGUACCUACCUUGCAGGAACACUGUGAAAAUUUAAUUGAAAUAUUAUGCGUGACAGUGCUUGACCCAAAGUGGGUAUUUGAUAAAUGUCCUUAGGGAAACACAAUCUAAUGUCUGGGUCUUCUAAUGAUUCCACAAUCUCAUUAAAAAGACUUCUGUAUUGAACUAAAAAUAUGUUCUAAUUCUGCCCUUCUUGACUAUACAGAAUGAGUCUAAUUCCUCCUCCAGAAAGCCCUCAAACAUAUGAGGGUGACCUUUCAUGCCCUCCCCACCAAACUUCUCUUUUCCAGCCAAACAUCCUCAGGUUCCUCCAAUAAGACAAGAAUUUGUUGUCUUCAAAGUAACUAGAAGCAUCUGGGCUCCAGUGGAUCCCAAGACACAUCUCAGCACCAAUAACAAGCCAAUAGCCCUACAGGAUCCCCAACUUGGUCUUGUGGGAUAUGGAUAAAGUUAACCUCAUGGUUAAGCCUAAUGCUUUCUUCAUCAUAUAAAAUUCAGGGAACAUUCUGCAUAUGCUCUCCCCAGCCCCAGCCCCGACUGCAGAUGCUACUUUGUUUGAAAGAGCCCAUUUUAGGACUAAUACACUCUUCACAGUUGAAAUCCAGUCCCGAACCUUUAAAGUGACAUUUAUUGUGGUCUUGGGAAAGGUUCAGUGGAGGUGAGAAGUGACAGCUGAGGGUGAUAAAUCAAAUGCAGCUCAGUUUUCAUUUAAGGGCAAACUAUCAUCCCGCCAGCCUGUCUCAGUCAUCACGCA